rnacentral:lncRNA from 1 species
AAUGCAGAGAGGAUGCACACUCUGAAGAGGGCAGGCAGCUUCUGCACCGAGGGAGCAAAGGGGCGUGUCAGGGGCAGCUGCUGGAAGGAGGCGCAAGCACCACGGAGAGUCUGGGAUGCCCAGCCAAGGAGCCCUGGAAGGGUUGCCCUGGGGACUGACACUGUGGGCUCUGUGUUUUAGCCAAGUCACCCAGGCAGCUGAACAGAAGAUGGACUGGAGGGAGAAGCCUGGAUGAUCGCUCAGCAACAAAGGAGCCAGAAAAGGCAAGGUGUACACACCGUGUGCAGCAUGGGCGAGCUGCAGGCAUGCAGAACUUCUGAGUCCUAACCAUGGCUGGUGGCUCUUCCAGGAACAUGGUUUCCUGGACCCAAAAGAUGAGGAAACUGAGGCUUGGAGAGGCUCUCUGCCUUUGUCAACCUGGAGAUGCUGGGAAGGAAGUGAGGCCCAUCCCACCUCAGAUGCCUGUCCUCUGUCGUCAGGAGCAUUCUCUUGUUCUUCCGGGCUUGGCCAAGCGGUGGUAAACCCCACAUGUGGUUCUGUGGUUGCCCACACAGUCCUAAAAAUAGCCAACAGGAACCCAGGGGCUCCCCCUUGGUGAGUGGCAGCAGGCCCAGUCCUCAGGCAGCCACCAACCUGCUCACUCCCCACAGGCAAGCAGGUCCUGUCUAGGAAGGGGCUGGGUGGCCUGGGUCCCAUGCAUGAUGAGCCAGAGGCUGUGCCAAGCUUAUAGCAAAUAUUAUUUUAUUUCAUUAUGUUUUCUUACAUCUGUGAUGUGGAGGCCAUAGCUCCACUGGACUCAUGAGGAGACUGAGGCUCAGAGCAAUGAAGUGACCUGCUCAAAGUUAAGGAGCUUCAGUUUGGACCCAAUUUGUUCUGAUCCUAAGGUCACUAUCCUUAAUCCCUCUCCCUGUGGGGUCUUCCCUAUCUUGAGCCUGUGGACAGCUGUGCAGUGGCAAGAAAAAGGCCUUCAGAGCUACGCAGACCUGGCUUCAAAUCCCAGCCUCCCUGAUGAGCCCUGGUGGUCUUGGAGCUGUAACGCUCACUGCGAAGAUCUGCAGCUUCACUCCUGAGCCCAGCGAGACCGUGAACCCACCGGGAGGAACGAACAACUCCAGACCCGCUGCCUUAAGAGCUGUAACACUCACUGCGAAGGUCUGCAGCUUCACUCCUGAGCCAGCGAGACCACGAACCCACCCGAAGGAAGAAACUCCGAACACAUCUGAACAUCAGAAGGGAUAGACUCCAGAUGCGCCACCUUAAGAGCUGUAACACUCACCGCGAGGGUCCGCAGCUUCAUUCUUGAAGUCAAUGAGACCAAGAACCCACCAAUUCCGGACACAAAAUGACACAGUCCCUGCCCACAUGGAGCUGACAUUCUCAUGGAGAGAAAGGGACAAAUAAACAAAUGUACAA